rnacentral:rRNA from 1 species
CCUACGGGUGGCAGCAAUUAGGAAUCGUGCGCAAUGGACGAAAGUCUGACGCCGCGACGCCGCGUGGAGGAUGAAGGCCUUCGGGUUGUAAACUCCUUUUAUAGUCGAGCAAGUUCUGAGUGUAGACUAUGAAUAAGCACCUUCUAACUACGUGCCAGAAGAAUCGGUGAUGCGUAGGGUGCAAGUGUUAUCCGGAAUCAUUGGGCGUAAAGAGAGCGUAGGCGUUUUCUUAAGUUACUUGUUAAACCUCGCGGCCUAACCGUUGAGAUGCAAGUGAUACUGGGAAAAUUGAGGAUGUCAGAGGAGAGGAGAACACCUGGUGGAGCGGUGAAAUGCGUUGAUAUCAGGUGGAAUACCAGAGGCGAAGGCGCCUCUCUGGGACAUUACUGACGCUGAGGCUCGAAAGCUAGGGUCGCAAAACGGAUUAGAUACCCGAGUAG